rnacentral:rRNA from 1 species
UGCAUAGGAAUUUGCCUCAAAGUGGGGGAUAGCCCGGAGAAAUCCGGAUUAAUACCGCAUGUGCUCUACGGAGGAAAGCGGGCCUCUAUUUAUAAGCUCGCGCUUUGAGAUAAGCCUAUGUCGGAUUAGCUUGUUGGUAGGGUAAAGCCUACCAAGGCGACGAUCCGUAGCUGGUUUGAGAGGAUGAUCAGCCACACUGGGACUGAGACACGGCCCAGACUCCUACGGGAGGCAGCAGUGGGGAAUAUUGGACAAUGGGCGCAAGCCUGAUCCAGCAAUGCCGCGUGUGUGAAGAAGGCC